AGUGAACGCUGGCGGUAGGCCUAACACAUGCAAGUCGAACGGCAGCACAGUAAGAGCUUGCUCUUACGGGUGGCGAGUGGCGGACGGGUGAGGAAUACAUCGGAAUCUACUUUUUCGUGGGGGAUAACGUAGGGAAACUUACGCUCAUACCGCAUACGACCUACGGGUGAAAGCAGUGGAUCUUCGGACCUUGCGCGAUUGAAUGAGCCGAUGUCGGAUUAGCUAGUUGGCGGGGUAAAGGCCCACCAAGGCGACGAUCCGUAGCUGGUCUGAGAGGAUGAUCAGCCACACUGGAACUGGGACACGGUCCAGACUCCUACGGGAGGCAGCAGUGGGGAAUAUUGGACAGUGGGCGCAAGCCUGAUCCAGCCAUACCGCGUGGGUGAAGAAGGCCUUCGGGUUGUAAAGCCCUUUUGUUGGGAAAGAAAAGCAGCAGGUUAAUACCCCGCUGUUCUGACGGUACCCAAAGAAUAAGCACCGGCUAACUUCGUG
rnacentral:rRNA from 1 species